UACGUAGGUGGCAAGCGUUGUCCGGAAUUAUUGGGCGUAAAGCGCGCGCAGGCGGUUUGAUAAGUCCAUCUUAAAAGUGCGGGGCUUAACCCCGUGAUGGGAUGGAAACUGGCAGACUGGAGUAUCGGAGAGGAAAGCGGAAUUCCUAGUGUAGCGGUGAAAUGCGUAGAGAUUAGGAAGAACACCGGUGGCGAAGGCGGCUUUCUGGACGACAACUGACGCUGAGGCGCGAAAGCGUGGGGAGCAAACAGG
rnacentral:rRNA from 1 species